GAUGGGAAAAAACAUCAGAGAGAAAUCAUUUGAAGGUCAUAAAUCCUGUUACACUACCGAAAGGAAACAGAAAUGAAAUAUUAACCUUAAUUCUAAAUAAGUUUUCAGUAUCUACAAAAACCUCAAUUAAAUCUAGUAAAAAUGAAAAUAGACAUUCUAAGCAGCAACAUUUGGAAGCGCCAGCCCUAAUUGCCAGUUACAUAGGUUAUGAAAUUCAUACUUAUCAGUGGCAUCCCAAUUUAUUAACCUUAAAUCCAUUAUCUUUAUUAAAAAUAGGCUUACCAGAAGCCUAAGAUAGUAAAAAAAUAAAGUUUACAAAUGUCAGCCCCCCAUAGAAGAUUCCCAGAAUGCAUCUUCCCUAUUGGCUGUUUCCCUUACUAAAAGAAUCUUCAGAUGUGUUUGUUGAUGCUCAUAUUAGAAAUCAAAGUUCUGGCCUCUUAUUGUGUGGAAAUGAACCGUUGAACCUCCUAUCUAUUGGCAAAUUUCUGAACCAGAAAGAAUUGUUCAAAAUCUCUGUCCCCAAAAUGCACCACCAAAAUAUUUUUUGAUUGGUAAUGGGACACCAAAAUAUUGCCCCCAACUCUUUCAAUAACCUGUCAGCACUUUCAUUCCAAGUUUUCUUUCAUUUCCACAAUUUUAUUUUAAUGAAUAACCAGCUCAAAGAGACUUGUUAAUGCAAAAGAUGAGAAAAUUGCAAUAUUCUAGUUUACCAACAACUCUUUCAAGGAAAAACAACUUAUCAAAGAUGCAUAAACAAAGCCAAAAACCAGAUCCUAGGACUACAUUAUUCAGGCACAGAAGCACCCAAUAACAUAACAUCUCUACCCAGCUACACUGUCUACACCUAUCUCAUUACCUAUCUGAGUGAGGUAUCCAAUUGUGGGUACCUCAUGCCAGUGCUCUAUACUGUCUAACAUAUUUCACUGUACUUUUUAAUUGGGGACAUUGCAUGGUGAUGGUGAAAUCUCAGGUUGACUAGUGUGAGAAUGCAGAUUUGAGCCUGAAAGUGACCAAUUCAUGCUAAAAUGCAAAGUCUUCUAUCUAGUAGAACACUUCCCAACUCCCAAGACCCUGGAUAGUUGGAACCAGUAUUGGGUAAUGCCUUUGCUUUUUUUACAUCAUUCGAGUUUUACUGCUACAUUAACUGCACCAUGAUUUCUAAAUAUUGGAAUGUCGGACAGAUAUGAUUAUGGACAUAUUUUUACUUAUUUUUAAAUCAUUUAUGUAAUUGAAUCUUAUGGACACAUGGACUCAUCUAUUAAGAAUGGAAUUUAGUUAAAAUAUUUCCAGUGCACUUUUAAAUUAUGUGUAAAUUGACACUUGUGAGCAUGCCAACUUUGACGUGAUUUCUAAAGAUUGACAUGCCAGACGGUUAAGGAUACAAGGCACCAUGCCAUAUCAAGAUCUACCAUUGCCAUAUGCCCAUGUCCAAGUUGUUCAACUUCAUCCAUCCCAGUAAUUUAUCUUUCCAAUGUAUUUGUUCUUUUUUCUUUGAUAACCUAAAUCAGUGCAUUUGUUCUAUCAUCAGAAUAACUUGGCAAAAUGUAACCUUUUUCAAGGCAAUUUCAACAUCUUCGCACACAAUUGAGAUAGUUCUACUGCUUCUUUCCCUCAUAAGCCUCACAAAGACACAAACUAUCCAAAACAUCUACUUAAGGCUAAAUUCAUUUUUUAUUGUCAGCACGAUUUGACAAGGCAACCUUAGCAAAUUACAAACUUCUACAAAGCUCAAGUUAAUACGAAUAUGGUCAAAGACAUAGGAAAACUCUCCAUAAAUAAUACAUCAAACUGUAAGAUUGACAAACCACACUUUGUAAUAAUAUAAUCAAAGCAAUGAUUACGACCUAGAACAAGGAAAAUCAGGAGAAAACAUUGCAAUUCGAGCACAAGUUCAAUGAAGAUAACUGGAUACAUUAGGCAGUAUCUAUGUAACUACACAUGAAGCUGGAAAUAAGAAUACAUAGUCUAGUUUAUGGGCAUUUAAAUGGUUUAAGAUCAAGUCAGUGAUUUUGAAGUACAGAAUAACCCAGAGAUUAUGUCUCCAAGAUUUGUUUAGACAACAAGAUAAUAUUCUCAGUUCAAAGUACAGCCUAGCUCUCAAAAAAGUUCUGGUCAAAGAUACAAUAAAGAGAAAAAGAUGCUGAUGACCCAGUAGCUGAGAUGGUCAAUUGGCAUCUCUCCAAAUAUGGAGGCGCAGGCCUACAUGACUGUAGGCUCUCUGUGAAAAGGUCAGUGGACCUCACAUGCACCCUGUUCUGUCCCAAUCCCCUUGAUCCUCCUGUCAUGUGUAAUAUGUAAUACCAAAAAUAAACAGAAAAAGAUAAGCAGUAAAGAGAUAGGGAAUAGACUGGAAAACUACACGUCCAGAUGUCCCUAACUCAGCUAAAAAAAAUAUUAGCCCUCUGCCACUUCAUUACUUAACAUUCCAUAGUCCCAUCUCUAGUAUGUUGUGGGUCUUAAGAAACAACCAUCAAUACUAGGUCUCUAAUCAGGUUGAAUAUAGAUCAGAUUCAGCUACAUUUGAAUCCAAUCUGAUUAUUGAAUUUCCAAAUCUAAAUCCAAUCCAAAAUAUUGGACUCAAUUCAGAUUCAGGUUUAAUAUGACUGCACUUGUCAUUAAAAUAAAAAAUAAAAAAAAUAAUUAUUUUGAACUUACACAUGAAAUGUAUAUAAUAUGAAAUAUUAUAAUAUAUAUGCAUUACAAAUAAUUGGACUUGGAUUUUUAUUGGAUUGGAUGAGGCCAAAUCUGCAUCCUAUCCAAUAGGCAGAGUCUGUUGACAGCCUUAAUCAUUGCCAUGUCACAACUUCAAAAAAGGACAUCUUAAAGUUGGACAGUAACACCUACACGGUCAAUAGUGGGCCACCUAAGCCAGUAACAACAUAACUUGCAUUUUUUUUUUUUUUUUUUGAAGAAGGUAUAGUAUGGAUUUGUAAUGACUAAUGAAAGAACCCAUGUACACCAAGAGACCAUACAAUAUGAAUAUACAAAAAGUCAAGUAAAUUGCAUUUGAUUAGUGCCAAUUGCACAAAAAGAGUCUCCUUCAGGGGAAAAGAAGUACAGAGUAUUCUCCUAAACAGUUUAUGAACUCCAAGACAUGAAAACAUCAUGCCUUGUAUCUUCCUAACAACCAAAUCUUCUGACUGUAUUUUGCUUUCAAAUAUCUUAGCAUUUCUUUUGACCAAAUACCCUAAAUGACAGAAAAAGGGGCUUCAAUUGAUUCCAGACAACAUUCUGCAGCCCAAAUAUUCCUCUCACCCAGGUCCAGAAGCUCACUGAGAAUUUGUAGUUGAAAAAUACAUGGUUCACCAAGCCAUCUCCCAGUCAUGAGGAUUUCUUCCAAGGAAAAAAAUUCCUUUACUACUGUUAGCAAUAAAAAAGGCCAUUACCCAAUGUUGGUGCCAGGCUCCCAGCUAUCUGGGGUCCUGGGAGGGGUUAGAUAGGAUAUGAUCCUACCUUUGGCAUUUUUUUCACACGAAGUGACCACUCUCAAGACUUGAACCUGCGUUCUUACUCUUGACAACCCAAAGAUUUUACAAUUACACCAAGUAAUGGCCCCUGUUAACAAUUAAAACAAAAGAGAUCCAAAACAAAUUGGCAAGUAACUGUACAAAAUCCCCAACGAAAACCAAUCCUAGGCUAGAUCAAAUGUCAAAUUACUUUUCUCACUUGACACUUACCAUUGAAGGAGAUCC